CAAAAAGAGGACUAAGACAGAAAGAAAUCAGAACCUCACUCAGACACAUGUGAAGCUGGGGACUGAAACCAGGGCCCAGGAAUGCAACUCUGACACUCCACCCACUGUACCACCUCCUGGACCCGUAAGUCAUUUACUAAUCCCGUUAAAAAAAAAAGAAACAAUAGAAGCAAGCACACUUUCUAAGACUUGUGGGAACUAUGGUGGCUAUCAUCUUGGACAGUGGGAAGGAGAGAAAGAAAUUGAGAGGGAGAGAAAGAAAGACGCUUACAACCUUCUGCACUGCUGGUGAAGCUUCUCUGGAGGGGACCAGAGGCUUGAACCUGGGUCCUUGCUCAUGGCAACAGACACACAUUUAAAAAUGAAGUCCAUACUCCCAGAAGGAUAAAGAACAGGGAAAUUUCCAGUGGAGGAGAUGGGACACAGAACUCUGGUGGUGGAACUAUAUGGAAUUGUAUCCCUGUCAUCUUGUAAUCUUG